rnacentral:rRNA from 1 species
UACGUAGGGUGCUAGCGUUGUCCGGAUUUAUUGGGCGUAAAGAGCGUGUAGGCGGUCAGGUAGGUCAGCUGUGAAAACUCGAGGCUCAACUUCGGGACGCCGGUUGAAACCAUCUGACUAGAGUCCGGAAGAGGAGAGUGGAAUUCCUGGUGUAGCGGUGAAAUGCGCAGAUAUCAGGAAGAACACCGAUGGCGAAGGCAGGUCUCUGGGCAUUAACUGACGCUGAGGAGCGAAAGCAUGGGGAGCGAACAGG